UACGUAGGGUGCGAGCGUUAAUCGGAAUUACUGGGCGUAAAGCGUGCGCAGGCGGUUUUGUAAGCCAGAUGUGAAAGCCCCGGGCUCAACCUGGGAAUGGCAUUUGGGACUGCAAGGCUAGGGUACGGAAGAGGGAAGCGGAAUUUCAGGUGUAGCGGUGAAAUGCGUAGAUAUCUGAAGGAACACCAGUGGCGAAAGCGGCUUCCUGGUCCAGUACCGACGUUCAGGCACGAAAGCGUGGGGAGCAAACAGG
rnacentral:rRNA from 1 species